rnacentral:rRNA from 1 species
GACGAACGCUGGCGGCGUGCUUAACACAUGCAAGUCGAACGGAAAGGCCCUGCUUUUGUGGGGUGCUCGAGUGGCGAACGGGUGAGUAACACGUGAGUAACCUACCCUUGACUUUGGGAUAACUUCAGGAAACUGGGGCUAAUACCGGAUAGGAGCUACUGCUGCAUGGUGGGGGUUGGAAAGUUUCGGCGGUUGGGGAUGGACUCGCGGCUUAUCAGCUUGUUGGUGGGGUAGUGGCUUACCAAGGCUUUGACGGGUAGCCGGCCUGAGAGGGUGACCGGCCACAUUGGGACUGAGAUACGGCCCAGACUCCUACGGGAGGCAGCAGUGGGGAAUAUUGCACAAUGGGCGGAAGCCUGAUGCAGCAACGCCGCGUGCGGGAUGACGGCCUUCGGGUUGUAAACCGCUUUCGCCUGUGACGAAGCGUGAGUGACGGUAAUGGGUAAAGAAGCACCGGCUAACUACGCG